AUUGAACGCUGGCGGCAGGCCUAACACAUGCAAGUCGAGCGGAUGAAGAGAGCUUGCUCUCUGAUUCAGCGGCGGACGGGUGAGUAAUGCCUAGGAAUCUGCCUGGUAGUGGGGGACAACGUUUCGAAAGGAACGCUAAUACCGCAUACGUCCUACGGGAGAAAGCAGGGGACCUUCGGGCCGUGCGCUAUCAGAUGAGCCUAGGUCGGAUUAGCUAGUUGGUGAGGUAAUGGCUCACCAAGGCGACGAUCUGUAACUGGUCUGAGAGGAUGAUCGGUCACACUGGAACUGAGACACGGUCCAGACUCCUACGGGAGGCAGCAGUGGGGAAUAUUGGACAAUGGGCGAAAGCCUGAUCCAGCCAUGCCGCGUGUGUGAAGAAGGUCUUCGGAUUGUAAAGCACUUUAAGUUGGGAGGAAGGGCAGUAAGUUAAUACCUUGCUGUUUUGACGUUACCGACAGAAUAAGCACCGGCUAACUCUGUGCCAGCCGCCGCCGUAACAC
rnacentral:rRNA from 1 species